rnacentral:piRNA from 5 species
UGGUUCAGUGGUAGAAUUCUCGCC